CUGUACAGCCAUCCCACCCUGAACGCAACUGGUCUCAUCUGAUCUUGGAAGCUAAGCAGCGUCGGGCCUGGUUAGUACUUGGAUGGGAGAGUGACUGAUUAAUAGGUAUGGUUUUGG
rnacentral:rRNA from 1 species